rnacentral:rRNA from 1 species
AACAAACGCUGGCGGCGUGCCUAAUACAUGCAAGUCGAACGGGGAAAGCUUUCGGGUGAGUACUAGUGGCGCACGGGUGAGGAACGCGUGGAUAAUCUGCCUUAGAGUGGGGGAUAACUAGUCUACAGAUUAGCUAAUACCGCAUAAGACCACGAGAGCUGCGGCUUUUGGGGUCAAAGGUUUUUCGCUCUAAGAUGAGUCCGCGUAAGAUUAGCUAGUUGGUGAGGUAACGGCUCACUAAGGCGAAGAUGUUGAACUGGUCUGAGGGGAUGAUCAGUCACACGGAAACUGAGACACGGUCCAGACUCCUACGGGAGGCAGGUGUAGGGAAUAUUGCAAAAUGGAGGAAACUCUGGUGCAGCGACGGCGCGUGGGUGAUGAAGGCCUUCGGGUCGUAAAGCUCUGUCGCAGGGGGAUAACACAAUGAAGGUACCCUGUAAGAAAGGAUCGGCUAACUUCGUG